AUUGAACGCUGGCGGCAGGCCUAACACAUGCAAGUCGAACGGUAACAGGAAGCAGCUUGCUGCUUUGCUGACGAGUGGCGGACGGGUGAGUAAUGUCUGGGAAACUGCCUGAUGGAGGGGGAUAACUACUGGAAACGGUAGCUAAUACCGCAUAACGUCGCAAGACCAAAGAGGGGGACCUUCGGGCCUCUUGCCAUCGGAUGUGCCCAGAUGGGAUUAGCUAGUAGGUGGGGUAACGGCUCACCUAGGCGACGAUCCCUAGCUGGUCUGAGAGGAUGACCAGCCACACUGGAACUGAGACACGGUCCAGACUCCUACGGGAGGCAGCAGUGGGGAAUAUUGCACAAUGGGCGCAAGCCUGAUGCAGCCAUGCCGCGUGUAUGAAGAAGGCCUUCGGGUUGUAAAGUACUUUCAGCGGGGGGGAAGGGAGUAAAGUUAAUACCUUUGCUCAUUGAC
rnacentral:rRNA from 1 species